rnacentral:rRNA from 1 species
UCAGUGCACGCCUUUAAACGGUGAAACCGCGAAUGGCUCAUUAAAUCAGCUAUGGUUUAUUGGAUCGUACCCGUUAAAUGGAUAACUGUAAUAACUCUAGAGCUAAUACAUGCCUUGAUGCCCUGACCCUUACGGGGAUGGGUGCACUUAUUAGAUCAGAAGCCAACCGUGUGUGGCGCAAGGCUGUGCAUGUUGUCCUUCUGGUGACUCUGGAUAAUUGUUACANAUCGCAGUCGGCCUUGCGUCGGCGACGGGUCCUUCAAAUGUCUGCCCUAUCAACUUUCGAUGGUAGGUGACCUGCCUACCAUGGUGAUUACGGGUAACGGGGAAUCAGGGUUCGAUUCCGGAGAGGGAGCCUGAGAAACGGCUACCACUUCCAAGGGAGGCAGCAGGCGCGCAAAUUACCCACUCCCAGUACGGGGAGGUGGU